GAUGCUUUGACUCAUUCACCUCCACGCGGUACGUGUCGGGAAACGUUGUAGAUCAACGGCUAAGAAAUGAGA
rnacentral:ribozyme from 1 species